AGAGUUUGAUCAUGGCUACAGAACGAACGCUGGCGGCAUGCCUAACACAUGCAAGUCGAACGAAGCCUUCGGGCUUAGUGGCGCACGGGUGCGUAACACGUGGGAAUCUGCCCUUCGGUUCGGAAUAACAGUUAGAAAUGACUGCUAAUACCGGAUGAUGACGUAAGUCCAAAGAUUUAUCGCCGAAGGAUGAGCCCGCGUAGGAUUAGGUAGUUGGUAGGGCAAUGGCCUACCAAGCCGACGAUCCUUAGCUGGUCUGAGAGGAUGAUCAGCCACACUGGGACUGAGACACGGCCCAGACUCCUACGGGAGGCAGCAGUGGGGAAUAUUGGACAAUGGGCGAAAGCCUGAUCCAGCAAUGCCGCGUGAGUGAUGAAGGCCUUAGGGUUAUAAAGCUCUUUUACCAGGGAUGAUAAUGACAGUACCUGGAGAAUAAGCUCCGGCUAACUCCGUG
rnacentral:rRNA from 1 species